rnacentral:misc_RNA from 1 species
CCGAGUUUUCAACUCCCAAACCCCUGUGAACAUACCAAUCGUUGCCCUCGGCGGGAGAGCCCCGGGCGUUGGCGAAAGCCUCGCACCGGUAUCAAGGCGCCCGCCGGAGGACCCAAACAAACUCUUGAAUUCUAAAGUAUCUUCUGAGUAACAUAAGUUAAAUAAAUUA